UCUGAUAUGAGAAGAUCAGAGGAUUUAUUUGCCGAUCGAAGACCGUGCCACAACCGGCGCAGAUCGCUAGAAAUCCAUCGCCCGGUACGCAGCGGUCCAUGUGGGGUUUCAGUCUGCGCAGCCUCCAGAACGUCUGGAGAACGGAAAUCCUGCACAGUGAAUUCUGUGUUGGUAACCGCCGAAUCGACCGAGGGGCACCGGGAAGGUGGAUCAACGCGUUCCGACAGACAGUGUGAAUGAACGCACAGGAGGGAGUAGGCAAUCCGCCAGGAGGAGAGGGAUUCGGACUGG